rnacentral:rRNA from 1 species
UCGGGAAUUUUGGGCAAUGGGCGAAAGCCUGACCCAGCAACGCCGCGUGAAGGAUGAAGUAUUUCGGUAUGUAAACUUCGAAAGAAUAGGAAGAAUAAAUGACGGUACUAUUUAUAAGGUCCGGCUAACUACGUGCCAGCAGCCGCGGUAAGACGUAGGAUGCAAGCGUUGUCCGGAUUUAUUGGGCGUAAAGAGUUCGUAGGCGGUUAUUUAAGUCUGAUGUUAAAUACUGUGGCCCAACCACAGAACUGCAUUGGAUACUGGAUGACUUGAGUGCGGUAGAGGCAAGUGGAAUUCCCAGUGUAGCGGUGAAAUGCGUAGAUAUUGGGAAGAACACCAGUGGCGUAAGCGACUUGCUGGCCCGUAACUGACGCUGAGGAACGAAAGCCAGGGGAGCGAAUGGGAUUAGAUACCCGUGUAGUCCCUGAGCGGGCUGGCAAGGCGCAU